AGGAGUGGUGGAGUGGUGCUGUUUCUCAAUGAACCUCAGCUGAUACUGAUUGGCCAAAUGAUGGGAGCACAUAUAGAAGGAACACAACAGCUCCUGGCUCCGUCUCCGUCAUGCAUCUUCAUUUUUUUGUCCUUUUGUCCCUUUUGACCUUGUCAAGAAGCCAGUUUGGCAUUCCUCCAUUCAUCUUGGGCCAGUGGGGCUUCCCUCCAGAACAGGAUGGUGAGUUAGAUGAGCUUUACAGAAAGUCCUCAGAGGACGACAUGAUGAGCCCAAAGAGUACACCGGAAGCUGAGAGCGUCACCCUUGUAGUCUACCAGAACCUGCAGACGACAAGGGAAUCAUUGCUUCUCAAGGACCAAGAUGUAAAAGACACCGGAUUGGCUGUGUGGAUGGUGGCUGUAGUGACUGCCAUCCUGCUGGUGUCUAUAGCCGGAUGUGUGAGCGCAGUCUACUAUCUGUGUAUCUGGAGGGGUGGUCGCAUUCAUUACCAACCUCAUAAGGUGUAUGCUUGAUGCAAUUAAAAAUUACCUAUGACAUGCAUGGACAUAUUCUGUAUGAUUUUGUGUCAAAUACUGAGGUAAAUAGUAAUGUUAAGGAGUUAAGCAAAAUCUGUUAUUUGCUAUUCAAUUGUGCUAAUUUAAAAAAGUUCUCAACAGCCAACCUGUAAUGGGAGAACUUUGAGAGGCACUGGCUGAGAUAAAAUACAAACAUUAUUUUAUUUAGAUGCAAUGAUGGACAAUUUUAGACAAUCAACUAUACUUGUAGUUCUAAAUGUAUUUGGGGUGUUUUUACUCACUUAGGUUUUCUUACAGCAUCAUUUGCAGAUAUGCAAAUUAGACGAUGACGUCAUCAAACGACUUCUACGACAGCCAAUAGCUAUUUUUCUCACUGAAAAGUUGGAAAUAGUGUUUAGCAGUGUCGUCUUCCCAACUUCCCUAAAACCAAAACCAAUUGUCUUCCUUGUAAAGCCUAACUGUUAACACAUACCGCGAUAACUAUCUGACAUUAGCGUUAAUAAAAAGCAUUUGAAGAACGACACUUGACUUGAGUAUAGUGAUCACGGCAUCUAAUGUAGCCAUGUGGCUAACACUAGCUUGUGAGUGUGUAGCAGUCAGAAGGCUAAGCUAAUUACCCAAAAAAUAAUUGAGAUGAGAAGCCUUUCUCAGCUGUGGAAGACAAACGAUUCGCCAUAGUCUCCUUAAAUAAGGAGUUUCACCCUCUCGAAGAGAAAAAACGGAGGGCUGCAAAAUGGACCUAUUGUUCAUGUGUCACUCCGAUGGCCACGUCCCUCUAUGAUUGGUGCCCGCCUUGUGAAGGCCACAAGUGGACCAAAGACCUCCCUCUAGCCUCCUUAUUCUUCUUUCUUGUCUCUCCCAUGUUUUCUCUCUUUAUUCCGCCACAACAACAACACAGUUUGUUAUCCUUGAAGCCAGAUUCAAAGAAAGAAGCCCUCACCCAGGACAAACAUGAAUAAAUAAAUGUCACUUUGGCUUUAUUUUA